rnacentral:rRNA from 1 species
UUAAAUUGAAGAGUUUGAUCAUGGCUCAGAUUGAACGCUGGCGGCAGGCCUAACACAUGCAAGUCGAACGGUAGCAG